CAGUCGCCGCGGUAAUACAGAGGGUGCAAGCGUUAAUCGGAAUUACUGGGCGUAAAGCGCGCGUAGGUGGUUUGUUAAGUUGGAUGUGAAAUCCCCGGGCUCAACCUGGGAACUGCAUUCAAAACUGACUGACUAGAGUAUGGUAGAGGGUGGUGGAAUUUCCUGUGUAGCGGUGAAAUGCGUAGAUAUAGGAAGGAACACCAGUGGCGAAGGCGACCACCUGGACUAAUACUGACACUGAGGUGCGAAAGCGUGGGGAGCAAACAGGAUUAGAUACCCGCGUAGUCCCUGUCUCUUAUAC
rnacentral:rRNA from 1 species